GAGUUUGAUCAUGGCUCAGGAUGAACGCUAGCGGCAGGCUUAACACAUGCAAGUCGAGGGGUAACGGGGAAGCUUGCUUCCGCCGACGACCGGCGCACGGGUGCGUAACGCGUAUACAAUCUACCUUAUACUGGGGUAUAGCCUUUAGAAAUGAAGAUUAACCCCCCAUAGUCUCUUAGAGUGGCAUCACUUCUAGAGUAAAGGUUACGGUAUAAGAUGAGUAUGCGUUCUAUUAGUUUGUUGGUGUGGUAACGGCACACCAAGACUACGAUAGAUAGGGGCCCUGAGAGGGGGAUCCCCCACACUGGUACUGAGACACGGACCAGACUCCUACGGGAGGCAGCAGUGAGGAAUAUUGGACAAUGGAGGCAACUCUGAUCCAGCCAUGCCGCGUGCAGGAAGACUGCCCUAUGGGUUGUAAACUGCUUUUAUACAGGAAGAAACACCUCUACGUGUAGAGGCUUGACGGUACUGUAAGAAUAAGGAUCGGCUAACUCCGUGCCAGCAGCCGCGGUAAUACGGAGGAUCCAAGCGUUAUCCGGAAUCAUUGGGUUUAAAGGGUCCGUAGGUGGAUAAUUAAGUCAGAGGGGAAAUCUUGCAGCUCAACUGUAAAAUUGCCUUUGAAACUGGUUAUCUUGAGUUAUUAUGAAGUAGUUAGAAUAUGUAGUGUAGCGGUGAAAUGCAUAGAUAUUACAUAGAAUACCAAUUGCGAAGGCAGAUUACUAAUAAUCAACUGACACUGAUGGACGAAAGCGUGGGUAGCGAACAGGAUUAGAUACCCUGGUAGUCCACGCCGUAAACGAUGGUUACUAGCUGUUUGGACUUCGGUCUGAGUGGCUAAGCGAAAGUGAUAAGUAACCCACCUGGGGAGUACGUUCGCAAGAAUGAAACUCAAAGGAAUUGACGGGGGCCCGCACAAGCGGUGGAGCAUGUGGUUUAAUUCGAUGAUACGCGAGGAACCUUACCAGGGCUUAAAUGUAAGUUGCAUUAGUUAGAGAUAGCUAUUUCUUCGGACCACUUACAAGGUGCUGCAUGGUUGUCGUCAGCUCGUGCCGUGAGGUGUCAGGUUAAGUCCUAUAACGAGCGCAACCCCUGUUGUUAGUUGCCAGCGAGUCAUGUCGGGAACUCUAGCAAGACUGCCAGUGCAAACUGUGAGGAAGGUGGGGAUGACGUCAAAUCAUCACGGCCCUUACGUCCUGGGCUACACACGUGCUACAAUGGUAGGUACAGAGAGCAGCCACUGCGCGAGCAGGAGCGAAUCUAUAAAACCUAUCACAGUUCGGAUCGGAGUCUGCAACUCGACUCCGUGAAGCUGGAAUCGCUAGUAAUCGGAUAUCAGCCAUGAUCCGGUGAAUACGUUCCCGGGCCUUGUACACACCGCCCGUCAAGCCAUGGAAGUUGGAAGUGCCUGAAGUCCGUCACCGUAAGGAGCGGCCUAGGGUAAAGUCGAUAACUAGGGCUAAGUCGUAACAAGGUAACC
rnacentral:rRNA from 1 species